CAGGCCCUCUAGCCCUCUCUUCCCUCUUUUUGGCGCUCUCACACUUCGCAAUCCCUGACCCCAGCUGUAACUCUAGUUUUGACUCGCCCCACGGGCUCUUCGUCGCCCACAAGCAUCUCAUCGUGACCACCUCUGCCGCUGGCCCCACCGCAUCUUAGUUCCCAUUCGGUCCUUUGCCGUCACAUGAUCUCCCCUCUCUCUUCCGCUCGAAUCUCAUCGUCGUUGAGUCUACUGUCGAUCCUAUGUGUGCAAAGAAUGGUUUGAUUUUUUGAGACCUUCUGAAGCCCUAUGCAUGCAGAGAAAGCUUAAUGCAGAUAAAAGUCCUUUCAGUGAACAUAUGCAAAUCAGGUUGGAGAAUUUUUUCACUCGAAGCAGAGUAGUGCUACUGCUCAGCAGAGAGAAAAUGAGUCACACCAAAACACUGAUGGUUCUCUUGAUAGUCCUUUGCUAUUGGAACAAAAAUGUUGACAGAGCCAUCAUAGCAAUUAAAACUUGGAUUUGUUAGUGGACUUGUGCCCAAGGAGAAGGCAAUCUCUUUUGAAAGAAUUUUGUUUCGGGCUACUAGGGGCAACAUGUAUCUUAGUCAAGCUACUAUUGAUCAACCUCUGAUUGACCCAAUUUUAGGAGAAAAGGUUCCUCUUGGUGCAAUCCAAACAUUGAAGAAGUGCGCUAUUCAUGUAUUCAUAGGACAUAAUAUCAAAAACUAUCAAGAUAAAGAGAGACAGUGCAGAUUUUCCUUAGCAUGUGAUAAAUUUAAGUAGAGGGUAGAAAAUCAUGUGGCAAACUUUUUUAGUUAACUGCGAGAGUAGGUUCCUUUUCAGUUAUUUCUAAUGUUGUAUUAACUUUGAAUGGGAAAGACUUAUCACUAGUGUUUCAUUUGUAAAAUUGACUCAAAUGUUUAUUAUAUGAAUAAAAAUUAUGAUGUCUAAAAA